UACGUAGGGUGCAAGCGUUGUCCGGAAUUAUUGGGCGUAAAGGGCUCGUAGGCGGUCUGUCACGUCGGGAGUGAAAACUCGGGGCUUAACCCCGAGCCUGCUUCCGAUACGGGCAGACUAGAGGUAUGCAGGGGAGAAUGGAAUCCCUGGUGUAGCGGUGAAAUGCGCAGAUAUCAGGAGGAACACCGGUGGCGAAGGCGGUUCUCUGGGCAUUACCUGACGCUGAGGAGCGAAAGUGUGGGGAGCGAACAGG
rnacentral:rRNA from 1 species